UGACAAAGAAAGUGUUCUGAUGAAGAAUUCAACAAUAGGAAGUUACUGCAUUAUAAAAAUCAGGUAUAGACAAAAACAAAACACUGCAAAAGAAGGUACCAGGCCAUCUGGCCCACCAGGUAAAUGCCAACCGCCCUGACCCUGACCACAUUACGGGGUAAAUCUCAGACUUAAGUCUGCAGAGGAGGCCCAAAAAUGAAAUUCUUUGCCUGUAGCAGUGUUUGGAAUCAAAUUUAAUAUAUGCCAGGCCCUUAACCCUGACAUGAAUUAUCAACUUCUUUGUUGCGUUCUAGCUCUACAGUUACUUUAAUUAGAACAACCUGAUAAGGAAGGCCAGUCAAUCAGUGAAGUACCUCAUUUGCAACCACAUGCAAAGGGUUCUGUAAAUUGUGCAAGUGUUUUGUUGGAUUUGAAAUGGCAGUUUCUUCAAAUAUCAAUAAAAUCACUGACCCUGUUGAUACCUCUGUGUAUGCGAGUGUGUGGAAAGUCCCGGUUCUCAAGAUCACAGAAAUGACUAUAGACUUCAAAUGAAUUUCCUAGUGAGCAAAACAUUUCAUGAAUCCACCUAAUUUAAGAUCUUAGAACUAUGGAACAAAAAGGUUUUCCUACUAACUAGCAGUAUAUCCACUAGGCUGAGAUAUCAGUCUCAAGAGAAAUCCAAAUGGAUUUGAUAAUAAUUUUGAGUGAGAGAGAGAGACCCAUGAUUGACAGAAAACAAACCUGUUGAGGCAGCAAUCAUAUUCAUAAACAUCUGCUGAUGCAGUGCCGGUCCCAUCAAUCAAUGAAUGACCAGCCA